AAAGGCUUUCCGGCCGAUCGAUCACCAUAUCCCAUUGCCAUGUUUUCGCCAGCGGCGCCCCUGGCGACCAAGAACCUCGGCACUCGGAGAUCCACCGAGUGCUGUGCCGCGCCCGUCGCUCCCGGCAGGGGGUUUCUUCUUCUUUGAUUUGAUCUCGCGAAACGUUACACUUCUCGAUCUCCGAAAUCUGGGUAGCGUUUCACCUGGCAUCUUUCUCCAACGCCCUGAACUACCACUUUUUGAUUCGCUGGAAGACAAUCCUGACAUGCCAUGCGAGUUCGGCGAAGCACAUAGGAAAAGAGUACGACAUAUGUUUCCAUUUCUUGGAUUCCCUUUAGCAAUGUCGAUUAAUGAAAAUUCGAAUUCGGGUGGCAAAGAUUAUAGACAUUGCCCCUAUAUGUAUUAUGUAGCUACUUGUUGUUUUAUGAUCAAUUGGACAAAGGCUGGUACCAGCUUUUGGUUUGUGGAACAACACCAUGGAUGAUACAUGGAUAUGGUGAAAUCAGAGAUGUGUUUCUAAAGCACUUUGGGAGAAAAGUGCUAUGAAGUGACAGAGGACGGAAUAUUCUUGGUUGGCGAAUGGAUUGCAUGGUACAGAUUCCAUCAUCAGAAGAUUUUUGUAUUUGAACUCUGCUGUUGUUCAAGACACUCCUGAUUUGCUUCCUGACACAACAAUUUAAGUUAUCCUUUUUACUUAUAAGUUUUUGCACUCAGGAAGGUGUCUCACCAAAGUUGAGUUGUUAAAGAUUGUUGAGAUAUGUUGAGAAGGUAUAUAAAUUGCCAGACAGAAUUAAAAUUGUGCCCAGAUAAGUAGAGGAGCAGCUGGAGGGAACAACACAUUGCUUGGGGAACCCAAACCUCCCUUGUACAGGGAUCCAGAUUGGGACCGUAUCUUUUGCGGACAUUCUUCACAGGAAUAAGUAUGAUAUUGUUCUUAUGGGAAAAAAUUCUGUAUAACCUAAACUGCAUCAGCUAGCUUGCUAAUGCUUUGUUAACACCUUCUGUUUGUUCAAUAUCUCGCAUUAACAUUUUGGUAUUGCAAAACAAUUAUAUUUAUGUCUUCACACUGAUUAUUAAAGUUUGUGAUAAUAAUCGAGAAUUUAUGGUUGGCCAUCCCUCUGACUUGUGAAUUAAUGAACAGAAUUUUCCAGGA